UACGUAGGGUGCAAGCGUUAAUCGGAAUUACUGGGCGUAAAGCGUGCGCAGGCGGCUUUGCAAGACAGAUGUGAAAUCCCCGGGCUUAACCUGGGAACUGCAUUUGUGACUGCAUGGCUGGAGUGCGGCAGAGGGGGAUGGAAUUCCGCGUGUAGCAGUGAAAUGCGUAGAUAUCUGGAGGAAUACCGGUGGCGAAGGCGGCAUCCUGGACCGGCAUUGACGCUGAGGAGCGAAAGCCAGGGGAGCAAACGGG
rnacentral:rRNA from 1 species